rnacentral:miRNA from 1 species
UUUGGCUGCCAUCGGACCUGGU